rnacentral:rRNA from 1 species
UACGGAGGAUGCAAGCGUUAUCCGGAAUGAUUGGGCGUAAAGCGUCCGCAGGUGGCCAUGUAAGUCUGCUGUCAAAGCGUCUGGCUCAACCAGAUAAAGGCAGUGGAAACUACAUAGCUAGAGUAAGGUAGGGGUAGAGGGAAUUCCUGGUGUAGCGGUGAAAUGCGCAGAUAUCAGGAAGAACACCUAUGGCGAAGGCAGCUCUCUGGGACGGUACUGACGCUGAGACGCGAAAGCGUGGGGAGCGAACAGG